AUGCUGAAACACUGCUAAAAUUUAGAACAAAAACCUACUUGCUCACUUAUUCUUCCAAAAAAAAACUGUUUAAACUCAAAAUGUUUUCAUAAAAAGUUUAUUUGUUGCACAUCAUCAAAAUGUUUGUGUCAGUGAACCUACUCAGUAAUUUGAAUAGGGAUGUUGGGGUAAGCUUGUGGUUACAGUAUUAGCUCAUCAUACAGAAGACCAAGGUUCACAUUGGACAUUUUUUGAAGCCCACUUCUGGUGUUCCUUCAUGAUAUUGCUGGCACAAUGAUAGAACUAUAGCCAUAGUCACUCACUGAGUAAAAGACAAAAAUGGUCAAAGAGUAAGCACAGUAACUGCUGGUAGGAGCAGUAUGUAGAAUUACAACUACUUAUCAUUGCCAACUUGUUUUUUUUGUUCUGUUGGAUGAUUACUGACCCUAUUGAACAAGCCAGCAUCAGUAGUUUCGGAGACUGGGCCAUGUCGCUGACCCUGAUUAUCACUGAAGGUCCCUGGAUGAUGAGAACAUGGUUUUUAUCUGGGUAAUUACUGAACGUGUGUUCGGGAUCACAUGCUAGGGGAUACAUCACUAGUAGGCAGCCCAGUCAUCAACCACUGGGAAGUCCUGAUCCACCACCACCAAUCACUGUAAUCCUCAGCUUCAGCAGGAUGAUGCUCAAUCAACAAAGUCUUGCCAAAUCAUUCAAGACUUGAGUUGGACUCCUUUUUCAGUAUAUGCUCAAGGAUCUGGGAGACAGACUAAGAGGGAUGUAGAUGGAGCCUGGUUCCCUGCAUGGCGGAUACAGUGCUCCAUCUCAAGCAGUUAGACGGUGUCUGUGUCUUGACGGUUUUAUUGGUCUUUUGGGCAUCGGCGCCACGGCUGUCCCAGGCACAACGAUUCGCUGAGUUACAUCCCUUGGGCACACCAGAAACCUGUGAUCGUGGGUUCAAGGUCUGACAGCACAAGACCCCUGCUGAUGUGUUUCACUGGAGUGGUAAACAUCUGAGACCAAUAUCACUUAGGGCUUUCAGGCCUUCUGUUCUCUGGUAUAAGGCGGAUAUUGACUGUAAAAUAUGACUGGGAGCGAUACGUUUGUGGUUUGAUUGUAGCUGUGUCAAGCGGACAUUUCAAUUCAAAAUGCAUAUCAUAUCCUAUGAAUCACUGUAAAUAUUAAAUAUUAAA